UGCAGUCGAGCGGACUAAUGGGAGCUUGCUCCCAGAAGUUAGCGGCGGACGGGUGAGUAACACGUGGGCAACCUGCCCUGUAGAUCGGGAUAACACCGAGAAAUCGGUGCUAAUACCGGGUAAUCGAUCGAACCGCAUGGUUCGAUUGUAAAAGAUGGCCUCGGCUAUCACUACAGGAUGGGCCCGCGGCGCAUUAGCUAGUUGGUAAGGUAAUGGCUUACCAAGGCGACGAUGCGUAGCCGACCUGAGAGGGUGAUCGGCCACACUGGGACUGAGACACGGCCCAGACUCCUACGGGAGGCAGCAGUAGGGAAUCUUCCGCAAUGGACGAAAGUCUGACGGAGCAACGCCGCGUGAGUGAUGAAGGGUUUCGGCUCGUAAAGCUCUGUUGUUAGGGAAGAACAAGUAUCGUUCGAAUAGGGCGGUACCUUGACGGUACCUAACCAGAAAGCCACGGCUAACUACGUGCCAGCAGCCGCGGUAAUACGUAGGUGGCAAGCGUUGUCCGGAAUUAUUGGGCGUAAAGCGCGCGCAGGCGGUCUUUUAAGUCUGAUGUGAAAGCCCCCGGCUCAACCGGGGAGGGUCAUUGGAAACUGGGAGACUUGAGUACAGAAGAGGAGAGUGGAAUUCCACGUGUAGCGGUGAAAUGCGUAGAUAUGUGGAGGAACACCAGUGGCGAAGGCGACUCUCUGGUCUGUAACUGAC
rnacentral:rRNA from 1 species